rnacentral:rRNA from 1 species
GACGAACCGUGCGAACGUUGUUCGGAUUCACUGGGCUUAAAGGGCGCGUAGGCGGGUGACCAAGUCCGGGGUGAAAUCUUUCGGCUCAACCGGAAAAGUGCCUUGGAUACUGGUCAUCUCGAGGGAGGUAGGGGCAUGCGGAACUUCCGGUGGAGCGGUGAAAUGCGUAGAUAUCGGAAGGAACGCCGGUGGCGAAAGCGGCGUGCUGGACCUCUUCUGACGCUGAGGCGCGAAAGCCAGGGGAGCGGAACGGG